AGUCUGUAAAUGUGAUCAUCAAGCAAGACGGAGCUGCCAAGAGGGAAGAUUUUGAAUGUUUCUCUCUCCUACAACCCUUCCCAGCGCCCCUCUUCCUUCCGGGGGUGCUUCCCUCUGUUUUCCCCUUUCCCCAGCACUGUUGAAAAUGGCUCCCAAGCAACACCUCGGUAGCUAAACCAAUUGUCCUGGGAAGUUGUUGAGCUGGCAUUUCAUCUGAGUCCUUUGUAAAAAUUAGAUUUUCUUUGAGUAGGGACGAGUGUCCUUUUGCGAGAGGGGACAAGGGAGAGUCCAAGCAGAGGGGGAGGGGAUGAGCAGUUUAUACACAUAUAUACUCUUUGUGUUCAAAGGCCUCCGUGUCUUGGCUUCUCACUAUGUUAAAUCCCUAUUAUAAAACUUAUCUUCACAAAGCCUAUUAUAGUAUUCUGAGAACAAAUUGGACCAUGAAUAACUUAGUUGGAAGUGUAGAUUAUUUUCUGCUCAGGGAAAGUUAGAGAUGACAACAGCUUAACUAAAAGAAUAGUGAUUAAUCUUAAAUAGAUGGAUUUCAAAGUUUCACUCUUGCUAAAGAGUACCUUUGAUAUUUCCCCUCUUCAGACUCAUGUUUCCACUUUCUUUGUAUUAAGAAUUGUCCCAGUGAUUGCACUGUCCACCUAAGACAGCAUGACUCUAACUGUAGACCUUUUUCUUACAGGUUGUUAAUCUGUCAGAGAGGGGACCCUGUUGAGCAGGGGUUGUGCAAACCAGAGGUCCAGUGCCUGCCUCUUCCUCUCAGUGUCCUGGAGCCCUGGCUCAUCUCCAGUGACUUGCGAGGCAACUGCAACACUGUCUCUCAGGAUGUCGAUUUUCUAGGCUGCCGGGAAGAAGCUCAGCUGAAAGUCCACACCUGUUUGUAGCUCUGAUUCAGAGGAAAGCCCAGUUCUAAAUCCGAGGGAAAGACAACUUCUCUGCAUGUUGAAGAGGAUUGUUGCUUUUUGGCACCCAGAGCAUUUUUACCUGAGGGUUCUGACAAUUUAAAUAAUUGGUACGCUAUGACUUUUAUGGCUGACAGAAGUGUGGUUUUGCUGAUGAGCUGUAAAAACAUGUAAGAAAUAGGCUUCAGGCUAAAGCUAUCUGGAAAGAGAGCGAGUGAGAGAGAGAGAGAGAGAGGAGGAAGGAAGACAGGCAGACAAAAUAAGUAAGGAAGCUAGCUCUCUCAUUUUAUUCCACGGACUUGUUUAAAACAUUUUAAUCAGAUUUCUUCCUUCGGGACAGCAGCUUAGCAAAUAUGGCCACAUUUCCAGAUGUUUGGUCCUUUUGGAGUUGUAUAAAACUCGGUUAAUGUGCACAGAAGAUUAUUCCAGCAUAAACUAAAACAAUGUCUCAGAGAAGUGUUUUGUGAAAAAGAAUUGCUGAAAAAUAUCCCCUAUUAUUAACACUCAGCCUAUAGUUUUGACCAAAGCACUGAUUUGUGUAGUCCUCAAGAGGAAAUAUUAAUGGCAAUUGUAGCCUCUGCCUUCAUAGAGUAAACCAUUGGACAAUACUUUUUGGCCAACAUACAAAUGGAUCAUUGACUAAAAAUGAUGAAAAGUGAAGACUUCCUAAACUUUUCUUUCCCUCUUAAUCAUUUUGUGUAUUGGAGCUGAAAUAUCUUUCUGGGAGAUUUAUUUUUUUAGUUUUUUAAAAAUAUUUUAUUUAUCAAUGAGAGACACACAGAAAGAGGCAGAGACAAAGGCAGAGGGAGAAGCAGGCUCCCUGCAGGAGCCAGAUGUGGGACUCGAUCCCAAGACCCUAGGAUCAUGACCUCAGCUGAAGGCAGAUGCUCAACCACUGAGCCACCCAGAUGCCCCCUUUCUGGGAGAUUUAAAACUGAAAAUACAUGAGUUACAAAUUUAGCAGCUCUAACUUCUCUGCUAAGACAAUAUUUGGAUGAAACUCUUAUUUCUUGGGCAGAUCGCAUACUUGUUCCAUACUUGAGGAAAAUGAGUCAAGAUAAUGUCUUACAUUGAGGACGCUGGCAGUCACUGACGGAAGAACUUUUGGAGCUAAGCAGAAUUGCUUGAGUUGUCUUCAGCUUUAAAAAUGAUUUUGUUUUAACAUAUGCUAGCUGAAGCAAAAAAAUAAUACAGUAGAAGCUAUGCGUCUAUCAGAGUGACUGACAGAGUGAGAUUCUCUAGAAAAAUAGAUUAUUUUCCCUCAAAGAGAGUAAAGUUUUGGUUUUCAAAGUCAAUCAGAAAACUAAUAAUUUGGACAGGAGAGGAAUCAACUUCUCUUUUUGAGACAGUAUAUUUCUAAUGAUUUUUAUGGAGACUAUAAUAAGGAUCAAGAAACAAAAGCUUGAUAUGGACAUGUUUUUAGCUAGCAGAUUGAAAAGAAAUAAUGGCAUGAAAUAAAGUGGUAUUUUUUUUAUACUGACAAAGUUCUCAUUUCUUUUAUAUUGUCUGAAAAAAAAUCGAUAAAUGAAAAAAAAUCUGUAACAGUUCAGUUCUCCAUUACGCUAUUUGUGUGUGUGUGUGUGUGUGUGUGUGUGUGUGUGGUUAAAACUUUAUCAGAUAUAUUCAUAUGUAUUUUUUUUAUAUUUUUGGGAAGAUUCAGUCUUCCAAAUCCUGAGCAUUUACAGGUACAUAUAGUAUUAAAAUUCAAUUUUAAAGAUAAGAAAAUUUUCUGAUAUUCAGGUUUCAACACAAAACUUAAAAUGUGAGAGUUUAUCUUAGCACUGCUAUUUCUAAGACUAUGGGGGGCAAACAAGAAGACAUUGUAAACACUUAUAUUGGUAAAAACAACAGCAUUCUUUGAUGAGGAAAGGGGAAACUCCCUCAUACAUCUGCCUGCCUUAUAGUCUUCAAUUUCCUUUCCAUAA
rnacentral:lncRNA from 1 species